CAGGGAGACAACAAAAUGUUUAAUAUUAUUAUUUUGUCACCUUAGGUCGAUCGGUAUCUCACAUUCUUAAUUUAUUAAGGAUUUCAUUUCCUAAGUUUUUUCUAGGUCACACCCAUACUUUUCCUGGGCCAUUAGCUCAGGUGGUUAGAGCGCACCCCUGAUAAGGGUGAGGUCCCUGGUUCAAGUCCAGGAUGGCCCAUAUCUCUAUGUUGGGGGUAUAGCUCAGUUGGUAGAGCGCCUGCUUUGCAAGCAGGAUGUCAGCGGUUCGAGUCCGCUUACCUCCACUGAUUACCACCUUUACAUAAUCGAUGAGAAGGAAAUGUUUUGAGUAGUGAUCAAUUCUGAACGAAUCUAGCUUCCUAAUGAACUCAUUAAGAUGCUGGACUCAUUGAAUUAAUUUCAUUGUUUUCAGAGAAGCCUUGACAACUGCAUAGAUUAUGUUUUAAAGACAAUAAGCAUCUUUAUGAUGCAGAUUUAUUAUUUGUGCGAAUGCAUUAAUAACAACUCUAUUAAGGCUGAUGCUUCAA
rnacentral:tRNA from 1 species